GUGCUCACUUUGGCAGCACAUAUAGUAAAAUUGGAAUCAUACAGAGAAGAUUAUCAUGACCCCUGUGGGAGGAUGACACACAAAUUUGUGAAAUGUUUCAUAUUUUU
rnacentral:snRNA from 1 species